GGGAGUGUAGCUUAGCAGUAGAGUGUGUGCUUGGCAUGCAUGAGGUCCUGGGUUCAAUCCCCCAUGCCUCUG
rnacentral:tRNA from 1 species